rnacentral:rRNA from 1 species
CCUACGGGAGGCAGCAGUGAGGAAUAUUGGUCAAUGGGCGAGAGCCUGAACCAGCCAAGUCGCGUGAAGGAUGACUGCCCUAUGGGUUGUAAACUUCUUUUGUAUGGGAAUAAAAUGCCGUAUGUGUACUUCUUUGCCUGUACCUUAUGAAUAAGGAUCGGCUAACUCCGUGCCAGCAGCCGCGGUACUACGGAGGAUCCGAGCGUUAUCCGGAUUUAUUGGGUUUAAAGGGAGCGUAGGCGGGUUGUUAAGUCAGUUGGGAAAGUUUGCGGCUCAACCGCACAAUUGCAGUUGAUACUGGCAGACUUGAGUACGGUAGAGGUAGGCGGAAUGCGUGGUGUAGCGGUGAAAUGCUUAGAUAUCACGAAGAACGCCGAUUGCGAAGGCAGCCUGCUGGACUGAGACUGACGCUGAGGCACGAAAGCGUGGGGAUCAAACAGGAUUAGAUACCCUAGUAGUC